GCUGGAGAGACAGCCAACCUUUGUAGAAGUGCAAAGCACUUGACCCAGGGGCUGGGGUCAGCGGGACGUCUGGGAGGAAGUAAGCUAGCUUCAGCUAGCACCUGACAGUGGAGAGUGGAAGGCAAGCGCCGGUGAAAAGGAGCUGUUGUGAAGGUGGGAUGUAAAUGGCUUAGCCAGGGCCCAACACAUUGUGUGUGCUCCAUCGGUUCCCAGUGUUCAGAGGAAGGAAUUCCCCCAGAUGCCUGAGUUCAGGGCUGCUAUCACCCUGAAUGGCCACAAGGGGGAGCUCGUGCCCUGUAAUUGUGUGUUUCAGCGCCUGUGCCGUGUGCCGCAAGGUACCAGUUGUUUCCACUAAAGAUCGGUUACUUGCAUCUUACAAAGUUGUUAGGAAGCGUCUCCCGGACAUUUGCAGCCCCUGCUAAGCGUAGUGUGUUCCAGAGCCUAAGUGGCUCUGAUAGCCUUGUCCUAGUGUUUUCUCGUAAAGCCGAGGAUUCUUUCCUCUAAAUUCUCGGGAAUAGAGCCAAUUACCCAAGUAGCCACCGAUCAUGUCCUUUUAAUCCUUCCUGGUUCUUCCCAUUCCUUCUGGGCAUCCACAGGGCCCAUCCCCUAGAGCAGCACCAAUGGGGUUGGAGCACUGGCUACUGACACGUCUGGACCCUCCAGGCCAGAAAGGCUUCAUUUCUCUGCACUUGCUAACCCCCAGCCAAGCCCCUAGUCCUUUCCAAGAUGGGAUAAAGGGGCAUUCUCCCUCAAAUGUCUUUCCUGAGUUAGGAAUGUGCUCUUGUCAUUUUGAACCCCAUGAUCUCUGCCCCAGUGGCUUCCAGAAAGGAUCUGAUGGCCACGUGCUUUGGAGUGAGACAGACCUUUUGUCCCGU
rnacentral:lncRNA from 1 species